UUAGAGGCUCCAGUGUGAAAACGGAGAUGAUAACCUUGGUAAAGGAAGGAUGGACUGGCCAGAAAGACAUGGUAUGGAAAGGCCUCUGGGUCUCGGUGAUUUCUAAGAGACAGAUAUUGUCCUGUGGGCUGGCAUGGAGGCCCUUGGAAUGGUGAUGAGCCAGCAAUCUGGAGCACCAAAGCUUCAAGGGGCAGAGUGCUGGGUUUCCAAGACCAGGCAGCAAAAUGGAUGGUCCUGAGGUAGAACAUGCUAGAAAUGACACUCUCCACAGUGCAUCAGUAAAAUAGACCGUACUGUGGAAAUCAUGUGGCGUGCCUAAGCGAACUUCAAAACAUGGAUCCAGACCUACACCUAGAGGAAUGGAGUGGAAAAAUGGAGUGCAUAACGGAGAUUUGUUAGUCGUAAAGAAAAAUAAUGUUAUGCCAUUCACAAGGAAAUGAACGAAGGAAAGAGACUGCUGUGUCCACCCAAAUGGAUCGGCCAUGGAAA